CUCCAGUCCUUCCCCUACACCUUUCCUGUGCACACCCCUUUAAUGAAGUGUAAAAAUAGAUAUCUUUUGUGAUAUGUUUCUACACUUUCCUAAUGAGCAACGUAAUAACACUUUUAGUUUCAUCAUUGGUCUGCAACAACCACCCUAGCUGUCCUUGCCUUUCUCCAGAUUAGCUUCAGAGCACCACAGUUAUCCUGCCAGCCACCCCACAGUUGCCUAAGAAAAUAUUUGCAUGUCCAUACAUUUUCUGCUAUCUAACACUGUGUGUAUGAAACUCACUCUUAGAAGACAUUUCUCUGGCAGCCUGGAAAAUGCCAGUAUUCCUGUGUGCAAUGAGGAUAAAUGAAGAUUUACUUCUUGCUUGUCAUUUCUCUGGAGUGUUCAGCAUGGAAGGAGAUUGCUAAUGCUUGUCUGGUCCCCUAUGGACCACUGCCUUCCGCACAAGGAAAGGCUGGCAGCACAUGGAGGAAAAUCAUGCAACUCUUCUUCCGUAGGGAUGACUCCUCUGGGAGAAGGUUGGGGCGCACGGGCACAGUGUUGGGAGGGAAGUCUUUCUCUGUUGCAGAGGAGAAGUAGAGGAUUUUGGUGUUCAUGACCUUUUACCUGGCUGCUCUCUUCAACCCACAGUCCUAAAAAAUUAAUUGUCUGGAAAAGAUAUGAAACAGGAUUGAGUUCCUCAAAGGGACUCUCCUCUCGGCUGCUACAGGAUCUGCUGACUGCACACAUUCUGUCCUCUCUCUUGCCUGGCUCCCAGUUAUCUCCUUCCCUCCUCGAAAGUUUAUGAUUUUACUUUUGUGAAAUUUCUUAGCUUCUCACUUGGGGACUGAAGGAUGUUUCAUGAGCAGAAAUGGAGCAAAUGACUUUCCCUAUAACAGAUGAUACUGGAUAUCAACAAACAAAGAAAAAAAAAAAGCCAAAACAUAGCAUCAAACCAUAUGCUAUGAAGACCAACUCUGUCCCAGCUGAAACCAGGACAAGAGCCAAGGAGCAAGCUGCAUCUAGAUCCUGCCAGAAGGUGAAUGUACUUUUGGUCUGGGAUUGCACGUCACUUCCUUCAUGCAGAAGUCAUCUGAAAUGAGCAUGUGAACCCAGGACUGAAUUUUUAAGGCACAUUUACAUACAUUACAACUUAGGCCACCCAUUCUAUAAUUAUCCCCUCCUCAGUAAUUUGGCAUUUCCCACCUCUGUACAUUGGUGGUAGGAAAUUUCCUUCUUCAUCAAAUCUACCAUUCAGGUGACUUUCUGAUGCUGUAGAUGUUCCUCCCUAAGGUCAGUAUCAUUCAGAUCUGACCUGGAAAUCAGACCAAGAACAAAAUCAUAUCUGCAUCUCCAUCCCAAUCUGGAACUAAGAUCUGGACCCAAGAUAAUGGCUAUGGCUGGUCUUUGUCAUGAGUUUAAAGCUUCAGAACAUCUAUGUUUCUGCCUUCCUUCAAGAGUUAGGAUGUGAUGCUGAAGCUUUCAGCUCAGUUAGUUUUUAACUAAGUUACAAAAAUGGCCAAUGAGUGUAAACUGAAACCUCCUUGACUUUCCUUUUGCUCAUUUCCUGGUAUUAUGGCUUUAGGCCUUUCUCCACUGAAGUGUGUGCCCAGCCAGCAAGUAUAUGAAGAGACAUGUUCGAGAGCAGAUGGGCCAAGGUGAGCCUGAAUCUCACUAGUCCAUGGUCACCUCAAAGACUGGGUAUGGGAAAUAUUCUCUAUUACAAUUAAAUCUGUUUUUUUCCUUAUUUCCCAUUCCCUUGGGUGAGAAAUCUAACUCUCUGGAGUGUAAAAACACAUGUUAUGGAGGUCUUUGGUUGAUGAUAACUCUGGUCACACAAGAGCUUUCUUCCACAGUAGUUUCUCUGUGCUUUGUUUGUUGUUGUUUUGUUUGUUUUAACAACCACAUUGGCUGUAACAGCAGAAAAUACAACCUUAUGUAAAAAAAAAAUACCAAACAAAACAACAACCAAAAACCCAGCACAUACACUGGAUUAACCUCGUGAGAAACUGGCAGGAGAAUGCCCUCCCUUAAAUCAUAUACUUGUACUCCCCCACAGCUGUGAUAAAAUAAAAUGAAAAAGAGUGUCCUCAAUUUUUCUUUCACCAAUGUGUUACGAAGUUGUCAGGCCAGGCCUGGUGGUAGGGCAGCAGAUGACUAAUAGCUGUGUUUUUUAAUUAAACACUAUCAGAAGAAAUGAUAGAUUAGUGUUCCCACCCCCUGCAUUUCCCAGAACAUUUCAAAAUUACUUUUUGAAAAAUGGACUUCAAAAGAAAAAAGAAAAAAAAAAAAAGCAUGAAACAAUGAUGGGAAUUUCUUGUCUUUCUGGACCAGAAUAAAAGCUUUCUGGCUGUCAGAAGGAAAAUUUAUAUUUAUUUAUGUAUUUAUCACAUUUCAACCGAUACAGGUCUGAUUUGUACCUGGUUGGGAUUUCUACAGCAGAGCUGGAUCUCACCUUCGUAGGUCUCUGUCUUACUGCAAGCAUUUCUACUGCCACAGGAGAUGUUUUUCUUCUGUAAGUUAGCUCCCUGCAGGAAACUCUUCAGUUGUUUUGUAGGUGGAUGGACACUCAAGAUGCCCUAUAGGAGGAAGUCAAGUUGCACUUCGCUUUCUCCUGCAGAUGAACAGUGAACACUUCUUAGAAGAGAAGGCAUAACAUGAUUCAUCUCAAUAACCCUCACAUAUGCACUGCUGAAUCUAGACUACGUGCCUCAACUCUCCCUAUGGGCAAUGGGGAGAAGAAGGUCAUUCUGGACAGUCCUGGAGUCCACCCAUUAGCCUGAGGAUGUUUCUUGUGCCCCGGCUGUAAAAUGGGAAGAUUUCACCAAACAUAACCUGGACACUGUGUGAUGAACAUAGUACUGCAGUCAUUCAGCUGUACAAGCAACUGCUUACAGAAGAGCCUUCUGUAUGUACGCAGGUUGUGAUCAUUUAUUAGAGGCAAACUGCUGCCUGCUUUUCUUUGUCCCUCUUUUGUGGCAGGAGGCAUAAAAGCCCAGCUCCUCUUCCUCUUUCCUCGUGACAUUAUUAUGUAAAUCAUCGUAUCACCAAGAAUAAGCACUUUGCCUAUGCCUGAGAAGAGAUGUUAUCUGGGAUUCUCAACUUACAAUUAAAAAGAAAAAAAGAAAAAGAAAAAAAGGAAAGAAAGUAGCAUUGUAGCCAUUGUUUCCAAAGAAGAAAUGUUGGCAUUCGUGAUAUUUAGAGCUAUAAAAUCUGAAAAUGAUAAGAUGUGGAAGGUUGAGUGAGACCCACAUUUCUACUACUGAGACAUAUACUGGGAGUGAGAGGGGGAAUGCUUGAGCCCACCAGAAGGAAUAGCUUUCUUAUCCAGAAGUAGCUGAUAAUUAAGAGCUACAGUUCUGUACCUACAAGAAAUAAGGGUUCAGAACCUGAAACUGUGCUUUAAGCAGAAACUGAAACCAAAUAUCUCAGUGCAGAUGACUGGAUCACCAUUUUCUCUUGAAGAACCUCUGGCCCUUUUUGUUAUGUUAGAGCACUCAAGCCAUGAGGACUGACAAAAGGUUUCCAACUUCUAUCAUCUCCAACAAACAGCUUAAGUUUUUUAAGGUUUUCAUCCAAAAAUAAAGGUCAUUAAAGUGACUUAAGCCUUUCAGAGUGCUCGUUUGGAGUUCCUCUUCUCAGUAGAGGAGCUUAGACUCUUCCUGAGAUACACUUCAGGUUCUGAGUGUUAUUCUGGAUUUUGUCCAGAAUGAACAAGUGGUGGGGGACAGGAAUGCAAUCCGCAGAUAAAAUGGGGACAUCAUUAACUUUCUGUCCUCAUUGUUAUUUUGAUUAGUGAGAUAUUUGGCCCCCAGAAGAUGGUGCAUUUGUAACGAAGAAGAUGCAAACAGCCUGUAAGGCAUGCUAUAAAUUUGAGAGACUGGAAAAUUGGGCUAGUGCCCAGAUGAAUGAUUAUUUUUUAAAAGAAAUGCAUUUAUAUCUCUCCUUUCUAACUGAAAAUACGUGUCAGUACUUAGAGACAGGAAAACCUUCUUUAUCCUUAUCUCUGCUGCGUGUCCUUUUUUUUCUGAGACUUCUCCAUCUUCAGAUAUGGCACACACAUCCCUUCUAACACACCAUAUUUCAAAGUAGCAGAGUCCUGGCCUAGCAUCCUGGUGCUAACAUUCUGGAUGCCUUGCUGCAACAAGUCCUGAGCAGCAGCGUACAUGCCAAUAAAAUCCUGCUUACAUGCAAUGGUGAGUGAAAAUAGGAUUGAGGCUCUUCCCUCUGCCAGCCAUUUAACUUCUGUCCAAGGAAAUUCAAGUGAUAUGCAGCACUCCUGCUGAUGCUGAUUAAUUUCUAGAUCCACCUAGGGUAGCAAGAGAAAACUGAAGAUAUGGUGGGAGUAGAUAAUUUCUCAGAAUCUUUUCUCUGGACGUGCUCUGAAUGCAUUUAGAUAAAAAUGCCACUUCAUGAGUGAAAUAAAAGUGAAAGGCAGUUACGUUCCUGGAAAUGCAUCUGCGUAAGAGUUCAGAAGGCUUGUACGUAACGUGGUGACACAAACAGUGGGGCCUUGUAUGCUUGUCACAGUGCCCUAUGGCCAGCAACAAAAACACAGGCAUUUCUAAAUUAAAAGAUCAUUUCUGUAUUAAUUUAUAACUCAGGUACACACAGGGCUAACUAUUUUCCAGAGGCC
rnacentral:lncRNA from 1 species